UACAGAGGUCCCAAGCGUUACUGAGAAUCACUGGGUUUAAAGGGUGCGUAGGUGGUCCGUUAAGUCAGUUGUGAAAUCCCCGGGCUCAACCCGGGAACUGCUUCUGAUACUGGCGGACUUGAGGCCAGUAGAGGUCACUGGAACUGACGGUGGAGCGGUGAAAUGCUUAGAUAUCGUCAAGAACACCGAUAGCGAAGGCAGCUUACUAGGCUGUAACUGACGCUGAGGCACGAAAGUGUGGGGAUCAAACAGG
rnacentral:rRNA from 1 species